ensembl:lncRNA
CUCUUCUCUGUCUCUCUCUCUCUCUCUCUCUCUCUCUCUCUCUCUCUGUCUCUCUCUCUCUCUCUCUCUCUCUCUGUCUCUGUCUCUCCUCUCUCUCUCUCUCUGUCUCUCUCUCUCUCUCUGUCUCUCUCUCUCUCUGUCUCUCUCUCUCUCUCUCUCUCUGUCUCUCUCUCUCAGUGGUGGGAUCCACUCCUGUUCUCUCUUUAACUGGAGCAGGAGGAGGACAGAUAAACGUUAGCUGUCAGUCACAUGGGUGGCUUCCUGAGCCGUCAAUCACCUGGACAGAUAAAGAGGGGAGAGAUCUGAAACAUCUGAGCAAAGACAAGUUCAGCAACAGUUCUGAAGGGGUUGUGGAUGUGUCCUCGUGGCUGAUUGUGUCUCCCUCGGAGUCUGAGUGGAUCUCCUGCUCUGUGGGUUUGUCUGAUCAGGAGAGAAAAGAAGGCAGAAUAAUGUUAUUCGUCCCUGCAGGUGUCACGGAGUCGUGGAGUGGAUACUUCAUUGUGAUUCCCAUCCUUCUUCUUCUUCUUCUUCUUCUGCUGUGUGCUGCCGGAAUUACAGUGUAUCGUAAAAAAGGUGUGAUACAAAAGUUGACUCUAAUAAUAAUAUAUGAACCAGGAGAAUGAAUAUAAAAUCCAAAUCCAGUCUAAAACUGUAGACUGACUCCAACAAAAAGGUUGGUCUGGUAGACAGACACACGCAUGGAGAUCAGAACAUUGUUACGUGUAACAGUACGGGGUCCUGAUGGUGCAUCACCAAAGAAGACAGUGUAAAGCGCUUUGGAUAAAAGCACUAUAUAACAAUAGUAGCAGAGCUGCACUGCAAGGCAGUGACUUGCCAUCGGGAGCAACUCGGGGUUCAGCGUCGUGCCCAAGGACACUUCAGCAUGUGGAGUCACAUGGGCCAGGAAUCGAACCGCCAACCCUACAAUUAGUGGACGACCCGCUCAACCACCUGAGCCACAGCCGCCCUGUUUUUAGGAAGUCUUUAGCGAGACUUUAGCGGGUCUUUAAGGGGUCUUUAACGGGUCUUUAGCAGGUCUUUGGGCUGCCUAAUUCAGGAGCGUUUUCUCUUUGUUGUAGGUCUGAUUUUUCUCCAAGAGAAAAGGGACAGAAUAUACAGAAGGUAGGUGCUGGGGUAGUUCACUUCAUUAAUAAAGUCCAGCUAAAUGAGUGAUAAUAACAGAAGCUUUGUUUACCUAUAAAACAUCAGGAACUCCAUCAGAAACUGCACCUCUGAGUAACAUCUGUAUGGAGAGUCAGGAUCAGAAUGAUGCUCCAUCUAUAAUUCCUCAUUCUGUGGUUGUAGAUAUAGAUCAACCUUCUGAGCAAAGGGAAAAAACGCCACCAGCUCCAUGUCCAGAUCUCAAUCAGCAGAAAUCAUCUGAACAGCAGAAUCCUGAAGAAGUGAAAGAAACCCCACACGUUGCAGAAUCCAGAGAAGAGGACCCAGGAUCCUGCUCCUCCUCACCAGGGUUCUCCACUGCUGGUUCAACCACUGAUAAACCAAACUUCACUCCCACCACCUCAAAUCCCACACCUGCUGCUACCAUCUCAGAGUCUGCCACUGUCUCCACAACAUCUGCAGGAAGUUUCAGCUCAGCCAAUAAACAUCCUACCAAAAAUGCUGAAAGAAAAAGAAAAAACACCAAAGGGAGAAAGAACAAAGACAGAGCAAAUGAAACAGAAAGCUCUUUUAACAAAGCUAAAGCAAGAGAAAUCAGUACCAGGACAUUUAACAUGGAAAGCAAAGCAGACUGCUCUGAGUCCAAGCAUCUCUGUAAGCAAGAAGCAGUAGAGAGUGAAGAUUUGGUCCAAGUGAAAAAAUUCAAAGUGAACAUCACCAUCGACGGAGAGGAAACUCCAGAGUUCCUGACACACGAGGAAAGGAGGUGAAGUGCUCCACUCCAGUGAAUACAUGGGACAGAAAUCCUGAUGAUGAUAAAAUCUUCACUCUGUGUAAAGAGAAGUUUCACUGUGGUAAACGUUAUUGGGAGGUGAAAGUGAGAGCGUCACAUAAAGAAGAGAAACUGUCCUGGUUCGUUGGUGUAGCGAGUGAUGCAGCUGAGAGAAAGUACAGCGUCCCGUUUACACCACACAAUGAACUCUGGGUUCUCUGCUAUGAAAGAGAAACAGGGCUUUAUAUCGGAGACGAAACAGAACGCAUUUCAGUCCCAGACGUUAAUAAAGAGCUCACAGCAGUGGGAGUGUUUUUAGACUGUGAUAAACACACACUGUCAUUUUAUAAUAUUGAUACACAAUCACACAUCUACACUUUCACUAACGUGGAGCCCAAAACACCUCUGCGUCCUCUGAUCAGCCCCGGAGUCCGAGACAGUCAUCCUGUACGCAUUCUUUAGUAAAGUAAUCUUAUCUGUAUUUCUAUCAUUUGUGAUUAUGAAGUGUACGUAACACAUUCACAACAUCUUCCAUCUCUGAAUAGUGAAAUGAUUCCUCACAGCUGUAAAUACGCUCCUUUAGUACGGCUUACUGUAGUUAGAAAAUACAUUUUUAUGAUAUCGUUACUGAUAUGACAAUAAAGUGUGGACAUGUAAGUUUGCUGCUUUACUGUCGGUUUUCUGUUUUGCUUUGAACUUUGUGAAUGAUUUCAUUAAAAUGGAACAAAUUUUAUAUAUAUAUAUAAAAAAGAGACAUUGCUGUAAUUUCUUGUUUUGUGUGUAAAGUAAGUAGAAGAUGACUGUGGCAGGUUUAACACUUUUAUUAACACAAACUGCAGUAGUUCGUCAGAAUUCAUAUUAUACAUUUCUGUAUAAAGUAUCAUUUGGUUUUGAAAUUCUGAUAUUUAACAGAACUUUAAACACGCAGUAGAGAUGUAUAAUCUGCACUUUAAUCUAGUACAAUAACACAAAGGCCUAAAUAAUCAGAUAUGGCACAUACUAUUAGACUGUCUUGUGCUUCUUUAAUAAUAGAUGUAAUAUAUAAGGAAUAAACAGUGUGCGUUUGUACAGUAAAAUGAUGAAGCACUGUCACGAUUUCAAGGCAGAGACGGAUACCAGUGCAGAUUUACUUUUAAUUAAUAGCACAACAAAACAAGAACUAUAAACACGAUGCAAAACACUGAGGCAAAGACUAAACAUAAACCAAAGACCUUAAACACAGCAGCAUAGACAACGGCAAAGGAAAACAAACGUCAGAUACAGAGUGCAGUGUAAACUGUGCUAUACACAGGAGUGCUUGUUAACAAGAAUGUGAUUCAGGUGCAGGUGGUCACGUGACUGUGAUGCAGUGAGGUGCAGUGGCUGCUGGGAACUGUAGUUCAGAGUUCCUUCUCUAAUACAUGACACAGACUUACA